rnacentral:rRNA from 1 species
GAUGAACGCUGGCGGCGUGCCUAAUACAUGCAAGUCGAGCGAACGGACGAGAAGCUUGCUUUUCUGAUGUUAGCGGCGGACGGGUGAGUAACACGUGGAUAACCUACCUAUAAGACUGGGAUAACUUCGGGAAACCGGAGCUAAUACCGGAUAAUAUUUUGAACCGCAUGGUUCAAAAGUGAAAGACGGUCCUGCUGUCACUUAUAGAUGGAUCCGCGCUGCAUUAGCUAGUUGGUAAGGUAACGGCUUACCAGGGCAACGAUGCAUAGCCGACCUGAGAGGGCGAUCGGCCACACUGGAACUGAGACACGGUCCAGACUCCUACGGGAGGCAGCAGUAGGGAAUCUUCCGCAAUGGGCGAAAGCCUGACGGAGCAACGCCGCGUGAGUGAUGAAGGUCUUCGGAUCGUAAAACUCUGUUAUUAGGGAAGAACAUAUGUGUAAGUAACUGUGCACAUCUUGACGGUACCUAAUCAGAAAGCCACGGCUAACUACGUG